UACGGGGGGGGCAAGCGUUGUUCGGAAUUACUGGGCGUAAAGGGCUCGUAGGCGGCCAACUAAGUCAGACGUGAAAUCCCUCGGCUUAACCGAGGAACUGCAUCUGAUACUGGAUGGCUUGAGUUUGGGAGAGGGAUGCGGAAUUCCAGGUGUAGCGGUGAAAUGCGUAGAUAUCUGGAGGAACACCGGUGGCGAAGGCGGCAUCCUGGACCAACACUGACACUGAGGAGCGAAAGCCAGGGGAGCAAACGGG
rnacentral:rRNA from 1 species